GUUGGAUGUCUCCAGGGUUGCUCUCUGUUUAAGUAUAUUCAACACAGUUUCAGUAGAUAGGAUCAGUGCUGUCAUGUGUUGAUGUCUUCGACUCCUCGGCGUCGAUCUGAGGAGGAGUAGCCUGCAGUUGUAUGAGAGAAAAAGGAGUGCUCUGUAUUAUUCAGUCGCUGUGUGGCAUACCUUUCCUUUGCUUGUGUUCUUACAGUUUAAGCGCACAUUGUAGUUAACUGAGUUCGCCCACAUCACCGGACUUCACAUUGGUGACAACAAGAGAAGUAAACCAAAGAAAACAGAACAAGAGUUGACAAGACAUUUUCCAGAGCCAGGAGUUUGUGGAAACAGGAUGGAGGAGAGCCCUGUAUCUCUAACACACUAGAUCCUUCACUGUUCCGGCCUUCACUGCCUCGCACCGGCCCUGCGUUCCUCAAGGUACAGUAUCACAAAACUCCUGCGUGCCUGCAUGCUGAGCGUCCUUCCAUCCUGCCAGUGCUUGACUUCUGCUUGCUGAGUCUGUCUCACCUCUUCUGACCCAUCUGCUCCAUUACUGUGAGCCUGUAUAGAACUAAUACUGAUUUGCAUGAGGCCAUUGUUUGGAGACAUGAUGAUCAAGGACUUUUCUGUUUAUUAUUAAUACAAAUGAUUGACAUGCCAUGCAGUUAAAUGAGAGUGAUGUAAUUAAAUGCCAGAUGCUAUUAAUUAACAAAUGUCAGGCCGGUUUCUCAGUCACACCCCUUAUUCCAUGAGACAAACUAAUGACUGUCAAAAUAGCAUUGAUUAGGAAAGGUCAUUUAUCCACUGACAGUGGCUUAUUGCUCCGGGGAUUUAGCAUGCUGCUCUUGUGACCCUUAAAGGAACAGUUCUAACAAGUUCUAACAAAAUGAUUUUUUUUACUCACCCUUAUGUUGUUUCCAACCUGAAUGGCAUUGAACACAAUGGAGAGAUUUUAAAGAAUGUACUAUUUUUCAUGCAAUUACAAUGAUUGGGGGGC
ensembl:lncRNA